rnacentral:rRNA from 1 species
GAUUAACGCUGGCGGCGUGCAUAACACAUGCAAGUCGAACGAUGAAACUUUAAUGAACCCUUCGGGGAGAAUUAAAGCGGAUUAGUGGCGAACGGGUGAGUAACGCGUGAGUAACCUGCCUUACACAAGGGGAUAGCCUUUGGAAACGAAGAAUAAUACCCUAUAAAACCAUAAAAGCACAUGCAAUUAUGGUCAAAGUGAUAGCGGUGUAAGAUGGACUUGCGUCUGAUUAGCUAGUUGGUGAGAUAAAAGCCCACCAAGGCAACGAUCAGUAGCCGGCUUGAGAGAGUGUACGGCCACAUUGGGACUGAGACACGGCCCAGACUUCUACGGGAGGCAGCAGUGGGGAAUUUUGCACAAUGGGGGAAACCCUGAUGCAGCGACGCCGCGUGAUUUAGAAGGCCUUCGGGUUGUAAAAAUCUUUUGUAUAGGAAGAAAAUGACAGUACUAUACGAAUAAGGUCCGGCUAAUUACGUGCCAGCAGCCGCGGUAAUACGUAAGGACCGAGCGUUGUCCGGAAUCAUUGGGCGUAAAGGGUACGUAGGCGGCUAGAAAAGUUAGAAGUCAAAGGCUAUAGCUCAACUAUAGUAAGCUUCUAAAACUAUUUAGCUUGAGAGAUGGAAGGGAAAGUGGAAUUCCUAGUGUAGCGGUGGAAUGCGCAGAUAUUAGAGGAAUACCGGUGGCGAAGGCGACUUUCUGGCCAUUUUCUGACGCUGAGGUACGAAAGCGUGGGUAGCAACAGGGAUUAGAUACCCUGGUAGUCCACGCCGUAAACGAUGAGUGUUAGGUGUCUGGAGUCAAAUCUGGGUGCCGCAGCAAACGCAUUAAACACUCCGCCUGGGGAGUACGCACGCAAGUGUGAAACUCAAAGGAAUUGACGGGGACCCGCACAAGCAGCGGAGCAUGUGGUUUAAUUCGACGCAACGCGAAGAACCUUACCAAGUCUUGACAUAUUUUAGAAUCAAUUAGAGAUAAUUGCCUAUAUCUUCGGAUAACUAAAAUACAGGUGGUGCAUGGUUGUCGUCAGCUCGUGUCGUGAGAUGUUGGGUUAAGUCCCAUAACGAGCGCAACCCCUAUUGCUAGUUACCAUCAUUAAGUUGGGGACUCUAGUAAUACUGCCGGUGACAAACCGGAGGAAGGUGGGGAUGACGUCAAAUCAUCAUGCCCUUUAUGACUUGGGCUACACACGUGCUACAAUGGCAGGUACACAGGGAAGCAAGACUGUGAAGUUAAGCAAAACUCAAAAAGCCUGUCCCAGUUCGGAUUGCACUCUGCAACUCGAGUGCAUGAAGUUGGAGUUGCUAGUAAUCGCAGAUCAGAAUGCUGCGGUGAAUGCGUUCCCGGGUCU